AUACUUAAUAAAACACACCCUUCCAAGUGCCAGAUACAACCCGGUGAUCGCUCUCUAACAGGGCGACGAGGAGAGGAUCGUCGGGUAGGAUUAUGCUAUGCGAUGCUACUUGGAGGACUUCAGUCUACUCUCUUCUUCAUGCUGCAAGACGGAGGCUGCCAGAAGCGUAGUCUUCGACAGGAUUAGUUAUCCCCCUCUUAUUCUGGCAUUCUGCAAUUCAGUCCACCGAUAUGGCCCUUUACACAUAUA
rnacentral:rRNA from 1 species